rnacentral:snRNA from 1 species
GUGCUUGCUUGGGCGGUACAUACCCUAAAAUUAGAAUGAUACAGAAAAGGUUGUCAUGGCACUUGCACAAGAAUGAUCUGCAAACUGAGGCCCUCCAUGUGGGU